rnacentral:tRNA from 1 species
GCCUGGCUAGCUCAGUUGGAGGAGCUUUGCAACUCUUGAUCUCAUAGUCAUGAGUUCAAGUCCCAUGCUGGGUG